UGAACUCCUGAGUUUAAGGAAUCCACCCACCUUGGCCUCCCAAAAUGUUGGGGUUACAGGUAUGAGCCACCACGUCCGGCCUCGUGUUCUUUUUUAUUAAAGAGAGAAAUCAACUAUUCAGGAUCAGCCCCCACCUUUCCUCAAGAGCCAUUUCUGUUCUGCACAGGCCUGCUGAACUGGGUGCUUUAAAUAGGGUAAGUGUUUCUCAUUUUUUGGUCUCUGUCCUCAAACUUUAGGGGCAAAAGAAACAUCCGAGACUUGAAAUUUCUUUUCUUCUUCUCCUAUGCAUGGCUCUAGCCAUCUCUUUGUUCUGCAUUAUCUUAUGACAAAAAAGGUUUAUUAUUUUGAAUCAAACUCAAAGCUGGGUCCUAAUAUCUGAAGGCACAGGUACUCAUACUUAAAGGUGAGUCUGAAAUCUCUGGAUUUGGGGAGCUUUGGAAAAACACAGCUGAGUGGCUAGAUCAGGGGACUCAUCGGGCAGGAAGAGGAGACGAAAAUGGCAUAUUACUGCAGGUCAGUUAUCAACUUCCUCCAAGACUAGACGAGCUGAACCUGCGGCAUUUUAAACCAAUCCCCAGUCGCUGUUACGUUUUUUCAAGGAUUUCCAGGGAUCCCAGGCAGUAAAUCUUGCUGAUAAAGGGAACCGGUGUGAUAAGGUGGGUGGUGAGCAGUUUAAGCACCAAGAUUGCAGCUCUAUCUGGUUUUGUGGAGAUUUACUCAACUAGAUGGACAGAUAUUCAGCAGGUUUUGCAGUCCUGGGGUGCAGGGUGCAGCUGUACUGGAAAAUUUAGGAUCUAGUUCCAUUCUUUGAGUCUCAUGUUAAAUUUGGCUUUAAGGUUAUGAAGACACUGGGGACAUAAUCCUGAGGGCAGCUGGGGGGCAGAGAGUGGUCACUGGAUAAACUUAUCCAAUAGCAAGCCCAUGCACGGUUUAUUCUCUGAUCGUGCAUGUGCUUGGCUAUAGAUCCACAUAACCACGGUGAAGACCACGGGGGCUGGGGGGACGAUUCAGCUGGUGAAGGCAUCGUGGGCAGAAGAAUCUUGAACCCAGAAUCCAGAGCAGGUCAAGUCUCCUGAUACAGGUUCUGACUCAUCUCUCAAGUAUCCAUCUUGGAGGGUAUGGACCCCAUAUGACAGUGAGGCUCUCUGCACGCUCCAGAAUAAGGACAUGAAGAAUUUAGUGGAUGGUACGUGUUGGGAGGGUAAAAGUGGGGUGCCAAAGGUCUGGAGGAAGAAGAAUUGACUGACCCUUUUGCUCUCGGAGUUAAGCAGAAAUCUGAAGAGAAGGCAAAGAAUCUUGCCUUCCCAGCAUUAUUCCCUCCCACCAUCCUGGGCUAUCAUUUAUUUAUCACAGCCAACAGGCUGGCCUCUUUCUUCCCUUUGACUGUGAAUGGGUCAAAGGCAGUGCAGGAGGAGUAUCUAGUCCAGAUAAAUCACAAGCAGUUCUCACAGUUCUUACUAUUGAGAACUGAGAACUGUGAGUGUUUAUUAAGAAGGCAGAGCGGGGGAAGAUGAACCAAUCUUCUUCCCCUCAAUACCCAGAUCCCUGCCUCCCAACGAGCUCUGUGUUCACCCUGUCAAAGUCUUUACCUUCAGACCAAGGAGAGUGUGGCCCCUCCUCAGCACUAGCUAGAAACCUCAAGCCCUUGCUUGAGGGUAUUUUUCAGAGAGACCCAAUGUCCAGAAGGCUAGGUGCAGGGUGGGGAGGCAGGGAGGAGCCACAUAUGAGAUACUGCCUCCCUGCAUCGGGUCAGAACAAGCCCCAGGAAGAAACUACUCCAAACAACAAGAUGCAUCUGCCCCAACCCACCCAGUCUGCAUGUCGGUGCUGAGAACAGCCUUUUAUGGGGCUUGCACUGAGCCACGGGCAUGUCUGAACACAACAAGGAAGAGGCCAGAGCAGCAACUGCACAGCAACGGGCUGAUGAGCAUUGCUUUUCAGAAAGGGCAGAAAACUAUCUGACUCAGUCUAUGAAAGCCAGGUUAGCUUUACCCCCUCCUCCCUAAAUCCUCCAUCCCCAUGCCCAACCAAGAAACAGCUGAAUCAUUUUCCGCAUCUGGGGGAGGAUGUGGGGCCAUUGGAGGCUGGCCUUCCUAGAUAAGUCUUUAUGACUGAGGACAAGGAGUCUUACUCUCCUCUGUCCACCCACCCCAUGAAUGGGCCUGGCUCCUGACGGGAGUUGUGGUUUUUCCUGAGCGCCUCACCUACCUCUUCUGGAUUUCACUCUGGCAAACGGGGCUGCAAAGUGCUCAUCCUGCUCUCUGGACAGUGCCUUGUGGAGAGGAAUGCCCAUGACCCUGCAUUCCACGGCCUUGGUAAGCAAGCUCAGAGUAGCUGGGUUUUUCUAAAGCAAUUGCAGAACGCCUGCCUUCUCUUUUUCCUUUAGAAAGGGCCAACCACACUGAGCUCAGUUAUGGCACACACAGUGGGACCCAGACAAAGGGAGAGGGUGACCAGCAUCCCAACUAGGUAAACACAGAGGAGGUUCCACCUGGAGUUAUCUGGGGUGGCUGCUUUGAUAAUGAGAAACAGUCAAGAGUCCCUGGCCUUGCAGACCCAUCUCCUAACGCAUCCAGCAGGUGCAAGGAUGUUUUGAUGAACUAGCUCUCUGCAGCCCCCUUGAAGGAUGUGAUCCUUGGAGAGGGGUAGGAGUAUUCAGGUCCUUGACAUCUCCCAAGUGUGUGAUUCAAUGAUGCCAAAGGCCUUUGGCCAGGUAACGCAGUGUCCACAGGCUGGGCUUGACAUGCGUCCCCACCCUCUGAGAAAAAGAUCCUCGGGCAAUCCAUGUGCUUCUCUUGUCCUUCAUUCCACCGGAGUCUGUCUCAUACCCAACCAGAUUUCAGUGGAGUGAAGUUCAGGAGGCAUGGAGCUGACGACGAUGAGGCCCCGGCAGCCACAGCAGCAGCAACAAGAGUAACUCUGACUUAGGAACAGAGACAGCCAGAAAGAAAUGCGAUCAGUGAAAGAGACAUCUGGACUGCACGUACUUCUGCAGAGGGGACUGGUGAUAGGCAGAUUGGAAAAAGCACCACAGAUGGGAACCACUUAAUCUUUCUUUUCUAAAAUUGAUGCUAUGAAAAUUUGCGUUUUCUGUAACUUAUAAAACUUAAAGGUUGCCUGUCUACUGAAAA